GACGUAGGGGGCGAGCGUUGUCCGGAUUUACUGGGCGUAAAGCGCGCGCAGGCGGCCCGUUAAGUCGAAUGUGAAAACCUGGGGCUCAACCCCAGGCCUGCAUCCGAUACUGGCGGGCUUGAGGCAGGUAGGGGAGAGCGGAAUUCCCGGUGUAGCGGUGAAAUGCGCAGAUAUCGGGAGGAACACCGGUGGCGAAGGCGGCUUCCUGGACCGACACUGACGCUGAGGCGCGAAAGCUAGGGGAGCAAACGGG
rnacentral:rRNA from 1 species